AUUGAACGCUGGCGGCAUGCCUUACACAUGCAAGUCGAACGGUAACAGGUCUUCGGAUGCUGACGAGUGGCGAACGGGUGAGUAAUGCAUCGGAACGUGCCCAGUAGUGGGGGAUAGCCCGGCGAAAGCCGGAUUAAUACCGCAUACGACCUGAGGGUGAAAGGGGGGGAUCGCAAGACCUCUCGCUAUUGGAGCGGCCGAUGUUAGAUUAGCUAGUUGGUGGGGUAAAGGCCUACCAAGGCAACGAUCUGUAGUUGGUCUGAGAGGACGACCAGCCACACUGGGACUGAGACACGGCCCAGACUCCUACGGGAGGCAGCAGUGGGGAAUUUUGGACAAUGGGCGCAAGCCUGAUCCAGCAAUGCCGCGUGCAGGAAGAAGGCCUUCGGGUUGUAAACUGCUUUUGUCAGGGAAGAAAUCUUCUGGGUUAAUACCUCGGGAGGAUGACGGUACCUGAAGAAUAAGCACCGGCUAACUACGUGCCAGCAGCCGCCGUAAAAC
rnacentral:rRNA from 1 species